rnacentral:rRNA from 1 species
AUUAAGACUCUCGGCAACGGAUAUCUCGGCUCUUACAUCGAUGAAGAACGUAGCGAAAUGCGAUACGUAGUGUGAAUUGCAGAAUCCCGUGAACCAUCGAGUCUUUGAACGCAAGUUGCGCCCGAGGCCUUCGGGCCGAGGGCACGCCUGCCUGGGCGUCACGC